rnacentral:rRNA from 1 species
GCUCGAGUGGCGAACGGGUGAGUAACACGUGAGUAACCUGCCCUUGACUUUGGGAUAACUUCAGGAAACUGGGGCUAAUACCGGAUAGGAGCUCCUGCUGCAUGGUGGGGGUUGGAAAGUUUCGGCGGUUGGGGAUGGACUCGCGGCUUAUCAGCUUGUUGGUGGGGUAGUGGCUUACCAAGGCUUUGACGGGUAGCCGGCCUGAGAGGGUGACCGGCCACAUUGGGACUGAGAUACGGCCCGAG